AGGUUACUCCAAUCAAUGUCCUCCCCUUCUUCAGCUCAUACAGGAAUCAGUACGGAAGAUUUACGGUUAUACAGCCUGCGGAGGAGGGAACUCAGCGUGAUGGAAGAAAUAAUUUUGAGCACAUGCACGAUACCAAUCGAGGAGAAAAGCAAGGAACAGCAUCAAGGCCACUCUUUCAUGUCCAUAGACUUGGACCCUGGUAACUACUGAAG